ACGAACCGUACGAACGUUAUUCGGAAUUACUGGGCUUAAAGGGUGCGUAGGCUGCGCGAAAAGUUGGGUGUGAAAGCCCUCGGCUCAACCGAGGAAUUGCAUUCAAAACUAUCGUGCUCGAGGGAGACAGAGGUAAGCGGAACUCAAGGUGGAGCGGUGAAAUGCGUUGAUAUCUUGAGGAACACCGGUGGCGAAGGCGGCUUACUGGGUCUUUUCUGACGCUGAGGCACGAAAGCCAAGGUAGCAAACGGG
rnacentral:rRNA from 1 species